GCGGGGGUGCCCGAGCCUGGACAAAGGGGGCGGACUUAAGAUCCGCUGGCGUAGGCCUGCGUGGGUUCAAAUCCCACCCCCCGCACCA
rnacentral:tRNA from 1 species